AUGAGAAGAUGCAUUUGCCCAGUUCUUCACUUUUUCAAAAGUUUGUCAACAUGCCGGUCUGUUUUUCUCUCAGAGGAAGCCAUGCCUCUGUUGCAAGGCCUGGGCUGGGGUUGGGCUGUCAGCCAGUCAGGGUGGUGGUGCCGGCCGCUGCAUGGGGCAUGUCAGCGUUCGGUACACACCUGUCCUCUCCCCGGCGCGCCACCGCGCCGGAAUCAACCGCCACCUCCGCGUCUCUCUCUCCACGUCGGCAUCUUCUCCGACCAGAUCAUUGCACGCAUGCAUAUACUACUACUGCAUGCAUUAGUCUGA
rnacentral:rRNA from 1 species